rnacentral:rRNA from 1 species
CCUACGGGGGGCAGCAGUGGGGAAUAUUGCACAAUGGGCGCAAGCCUGAUGCAGCCAUGCCGCGUGUGUGAAGAAGGCCUUCGGGUUGUAAAGCACUUUCAGCGGGGAGGAAGGCGGUGAGGUUAAUAACCUCAUCGAUUGACGUUACCCGCAGAAGAAGCACCGGCUAACUCCGUGCCAGCAGCCGCGGUAAUACGGAGGGUGCAAGCGUUAAUCGGAAUUACUGGGCGUAAAGCGCACGCAGGCGGUCUGUCAAGUCGGAUGUGAAAUCCCCGGGCUCAACCUGGGAACUGCAUUCGAAAAUGGCAGAGUAGAGGCUUGGAGAGGGGGGUAGAAUUCCAGGUGUAGCGGUGAAAUGCGUAGAGAUCUGGAGGAAUACCGGUGGCGAAGGCGGCCCCCUGGACAAAGACUGACGCUCAGGUGCGAAAGCGUGGGGAGCAAACAGGAUUAGAUACCCGAGUAGUC